rnacentral:lncRNA from 1 species
AAAUGAUUUAAGUCAUUCCUUAAUUGAAAAUUUCCUCUUGGAUGAUUCCAGGCUGAAUCAAGUUGAGAGUAAACCUGAGAUUUCCAGGUUAUCUAUGGCUUUGUUUUAUUUUAUGGAUGCCACAUGAGCAGUUCCAGCAGAGCCAACUUCCUAUCCACACCAGACUCGGCAGAGGGGCAUGGACCUGUGACUACCAGCUUCUGGAAGAGUUCCUUUCCUCAGCUUCCCAGACAGAAGAUUCCUUGAGACAGGCAGAGACAACCAAUUGGAUACAAAGCACAUGUUUUCCAUGGGAAUUUGCCAGGAAGCAAAAUGUUGGUCUCUGGAACAUUUAUUAUGCAUAGAGGUCUGUGCAGGGUCAUCAGGUGGCACCACGGAGGUUUCCAGAAGGAAACAGGCAUGGGUUAAUGUAUGCAUUUGCCCUAUACAGUUAAAAAUUGCAUAUUUUUUGUUUAUGCAGAUCAUGUGGCUUGCCUUGCCAGAGCCUGUUUAGAAUGAGCCUAGUGAAGUGGCACGACACACUCUGUCAUGCUUUGAUCUUUGUUGUUCCAGCUUGGUGUGCUCAGUUACCAACCUGCUUCUCUGAAGGAUUUGCCUUGAAGGAUUGCCUCCACAGAUUGCCUGGGAGACUGCUGCUGGCUGUGGAAAGGCUGUUGGCACUAGCAAACUUCCCCCAGGGAGAAGAGCAUCUUCAGAAAUCUGCCUGCAUCCUUGACCUGGUCCCUCAUUGACCAUAAAGAGUGACUGGUUGCCAGCUGAUCUGAUUGCACCCUUUGGAACAAGAAAGGCAGUGGCCUUCAUUAUCAUUCACUGGCCAGGAAACAGGGUGAGAGGUCAUCCUUUUCCUGUUUUCUUCAGGGCUCAGUGACAAAACAUAGUCACUCUACAUUUCCAGAGCACCUGUAUACCUUUUCAUAACAGAUCACAGGGCAGCACUCUUCUGAGGAGAUCCCUCUUUUGCAACUAGAGAUCUGGGGCAUCAGAACAGAGCUUCAUACAUCAGCUUUGUACCAGAGAGAAGACACAAUCACUGGCUUUCUGGAUUACCCUGUUCACCAGUGCUUUUAAUUACCACUUGAAUAAUGAAAGCUUUAGAGAGAACUUUUAAGGAGAAAUCUUAAAGAGAGACUUUUGAGAGAGAACUUUUGGAGAGAAACUUUUGAAGAGAACUUUAGGGAAGAACUGUUUUUGAAAUAAAGAGCUAUGCAAAGAAGGAUAUGUAUAUGAA